UGGCCUCCAGCACACCCUCCCCCCACCCCUCCCUGCGGUGGACGAUGGCCAUUGAUUUCGAUCGAUGUCCGUGGUGCUCAAAUCGAGGUCCUUCCGCCGGCUAUCCACACCCGGCGCAGCUCCCAUGAGUGCAGCAUCACACCAUGUCCUCCUAGUCUGCCCAAUGACCACCGCUGCCGAGAGCCCAUCGGUGUCGCGCAUCAUCGCCGGCGUUAUGUCCCACGCUGAAGGCCCACUCUUGUCCGCCAGGUCUGCACCCAUAAGGAUGUGGCCGUGCCAGUCCGCAUGUCGCGGAGUAGCAGGUCGAGGUUGAAGACGAUGGCCACCACCUAUGCCCCCGUGAGUGGAGAUAAGGGAGGGAGCUUGUUAGCUUGAGGUUGUUGCGAGCAUGGCCGUCGUGGAGAGAGAGAGAGAAGACGCAUGAUUCUGGAGUCCAGAGUUCUUCGUUGCGAUGGUGUUUUUGGGUUAAUCCGAUGACCCAAUCAGAUGAACCAGUGUAGCACUAAUUUUUUUUUUUGCGUCAGUUUUUUGGAUUUCUACCCUACUAGUCAGCAAUUGGAUUUCGGGUCAUUGGGUUGACCCAAGAAAUUCUGCAUCCUGAGCCACGGGAAAAAGUUGGUCUCGAUCCUGCUGCUCUCUCUCGCUCCCCUGCUGCGCCACACGGAUGGAUAAGAUGUCGCGUCCCUCUGCCUACUGCCCUCUCCGCUAACCGCAACCCACAGGCCACAGCUAGGCCGUGCAGUGCAGUGCCGCCUCGCCAGCCCGACUCCCCUCCCCUUCGGCUGCAGGCUCCCGGCGGCGACUCCCCUCCCCUUCGGCUGCACCGCUGCAGGCGCCCGGCGCCCAGCACUCAGGGGGCGCGGAGCUGUGCCGGCCGGCCGGCGGCGUGUGCUUAUCCCCUCCCCGUGGCUGCAGUCGCGCGGAGCUCGGCUCCAUCAACGACCGAGGCCAGCGGCGCACGCGGCUGCCCAGCAAGAGGGCGCAGCAUCGCCAGCGCUACGCCAGGAGCAAGACAACCAGCUGCUCGCACCACAUCUCAGUCUCCACCGCGCUCCCUGCCACCACGCUAUGGUGCUCGCGCCGCUUGCCCAGACCUCAGAAGUAGCCAUGAUGGGCAAUUCCAAAGGACGGAGUUUCUUAGUACCUUCAGAGAAGCAAGAUCUUUGGAUGAAGUUCCUCAACAAGAAGAAGGAUGUACCUGAUUACCUUUGUAUAUGCAGUUUAUGAUACAAGAAUAAUGUUGUUACAUUUCAUGCCAUGCAACUUUUAUUCAAUUCUUCGUUUCAUGCCAUGCAACUUUUAUUCAAUUCUUCGAGAUAGAUUUAUGCA